rnacentral:rRNA from 1 species
UACGUAGGGGGCAAGCGUUAUCCGGAUUUACUGGGUGUAAAGGGAGCGUAGACGGCGAUGCAAGUCUGAAGUGAAAGGCGGGGGCCCAACCCCCGGACUGCUCUGGAAACUGUAUGGCUGGAGUGCAGGAGAGGUAAGCGGAAUUCCUAGUGUAGCGGUGAAAUGCGUAGAUAUCACGCAGAACUCCGAUUGCGAAGGCAGCAUACCGGCGCCCGACUGACGCUGAGGCACGAAAGCGUGGGGAUCGAACAGG